GCCCGCGUGGUGGAAUGGUAGACACAGGGGACUUAAAAUCCCUAGGCUUUGAUGCCGUGCCGGUUCGAGUCCGGCCGCGGGUA
rnacentral:tRNA from 1 species